CCUACGGGAGGCAGCAGUGAGGAAUAUUGGUCAAUGGGCUUACGCCUGAACCAGCCAAGUCGCGUGAGGGAAGACUGCCCUCUGGGUUGUAACCCUCUUUUGUCAGGGAGCAAAGCCGGCUACGUGUAGCCGGACUGAGAGUACCUGCAGAAAAAGCAUCGGCGAACUCCGUGCCAGCCUCCGCGGUCAUUCAGAGGAUGCGAGCGAUAUCCGGUUUAAUUUGGUUAAAAGGGUGCGUAGGCGGAAUGCCAAGUCAGCGGUAAAAUCGCGGGGCUCAAGCUCGCUCCGCCGUUGAAACUGGCGUUCUGGAGUGGGCGAGAGGUGUGCGGAA
rnacentral:rRNA from 1 species